CCUACGGGUGGCAGCAGUGAGGAAUAUUGGUCAAUGGGCGAGAGCCUGAACCAGCCAAGUCGCGUGAGGGAAGACGGUCCUACGGAUUGUAAACCUCUUUUGUCAGGGAGCAAGGAGCGCCACGAGUGGGGCGGCGAGAGUACCUGAAGAAAAAGCAUCGGCUAACUCCGUGCCAGCAGCCGCGGUAAUACGGAGGAUGCGAGCGUUAUCCGGAUUUAUUGGGUUUAAAGGGUGCGCAGGCGGAAGCGGCAAGUCCGCGGUAAAAUGUCCGGGCUCAACCCGGGCCGGCCGUUGAAACUGGGGAUCUUGAGUGGGCGAGAAGUAUGCGGAAUGCGUUGUGUAGCGGU
rnacentral:rRNA from 1 species